CAGCAGCGCAUCGCUGAGUUAAGCAGGGAGUGCAGCAGGACCACUGCGACGGCUGCAACCAACUUCUUGGUGCCAUCCUAAUCCAAGGAAAUAUGCUGGG